GACGAACGCUGGCGGCGUGCCUAAUACAUGCAAGUUGAGCGAUGAAGAUUGGUGCUUGCACCAAUUUGAAGAGCAGCGAACGGGUGAGUAACGCGUGGGGAAUCUGCCUUUGAGCGGGGGACAACAUUUGGAAACGAAUGCUAAUACCGCAUAACAACUUUAAACAUAAGUUUUAAGUUUGAAAGAUGCAAUUGCAUCACUCAAAGAUGAUCCCGCGUUGUAUUAGCUAGUUGGUGAGGUAAAGGCUCACCAAGGCGAUGAUACAUAGCCGACCUGAGAGGGUGAUCGGCCACAUUGGGACUGAGACACGGCCCAAACUCCUACGGGAGGCAGCAGUAGGGAAUCUUCGGCAAUAGACGAAAGUCUGACCGAGCAACGCCGCGGGAGUGAAGAAGGUUUUCGGAUCGUAAAACUCUGUUGGUAGAGAAGAACGUUGGUGAGAGUGGAAAGCUCAUCAAGUGACGGUAACUACACAGAAAGGGACGGCUAACUACGUG
rnacentral:rRNA from 1 species